AGAUUAUCGGAUUGGAGCGGCCCGCGUUAGAUUAGGUAGUUGGUGGGGGUAAUGGCCUACCAAGCCUACGAUCUAUAGCUGGUUUUAGAGGAUGAUCAGCAACACUGGGACUGAGACACGGCCCAGACUCCUACGGGAGGCAGCAGUGGGGAAUCUUGGACAAUGGGGGCAACCCUGAUCCAGCCAUGCCGCGUGAGUGAUGAAGGCCUUAGGGUCGUAAAGCUCUUUCGCCUGUGAUGAUAAUGACAGUAGCAGGUAAAGAAACCCCGGCUAACUCCGUGCCAGCAGCCGCGGUAAUACGGAGGGGGUUAGCGUUGUUCGGAAUUACUGGGCGUAAAGCGCGCGUAGGCGGAUUAGUCAGUUAGAGGUGAAAUCCCAGGGCUCAACCCUGGAACUGCUUUUAAUACUGCUAGUCUUGAGUUCGAGAGAGGUGAGUGGAAUUCCGAGUGUAGAGGUGAAAUUCGUAGAUAUUCGGAGGAACACCAGUGGCGAAGGCGGCUCACUUGCUCUAUACUGACGCUGAGGUGCGAAAGUGUGGGGGAGCAAACAGGAUUAGAUACCCUGGUAGUCCACACCGUAAAC
rnacentral:rRNA from 1 species